GGGGAUGUGGCUCAGUGGCAGAGUUUUGCUUCACAUGCACAAGGCCCUGGGUUCAAUUCCCAGCACCACAA
rnacentral:tRNA from 1 species